rnacentral:rRNA from 1 species
AUUGAACGCUGGCGGCAGGCCUAACACAUGCAAGUCGAGCGGAUGAAGGGAGCUUGCUCCUGGAUUCAGCGGCGGACGGGCGAGUAAUGCCUAGGAAUCUGCCUGGCAGUGGGGGAUAACGUCCGGAAACGGGCGCUAAUACCGCAUACGUCCUGAGGGAGAAAGUGGGGGAUCUUCGGACCUCACGCUAUCAGAUGAGCCUAGGUCGGAUUAGCUAGUUGGUGGGGUAAAGGCCUACCAAGGCGACGAUCCGUAACUGGUCUGAGAGGAUGAUCAGUCACACUGGAACUGAGACACGGUCCAGACUCCUACGGGAGGCAGCAGUGGGGAAUAUUGGGCAAAGGGCGAAAGCCUGAUCCAGCCAUGCCGCGUGUGUGAAGAAGGUCUUCGGAUUGUAAAGCACUUUAAGUUGGGAGGAAGGGCAGUAAGUUAAUACCUUGCUGUCUUGACGUUACCAACAGAAUAAGCACCGGCUAACUUCGUG